GCUGUCCUGGAAUCUGCUCGGUGACGAGGCAGCUGCUGAGCUGGCCCAGGUCCUGCCACGGAUGGGCCGACUGAAGAGAGUGGACCUGGAGAAGAAUCGGAUCACAGCUCAUGGAGCCUGGCUCCUGGCUGAAGGGCUGGCUCAGGGCUCUGGCAUCCAAGUCAUUCGCCUGUGGAAUAACCCCAUCCCCCAGGACACGGCCCAGCAUCUGCAGAGCCGGGAGCCCAGGCUGGACUUUGCUUUCUUCGACCAUCAGCCACAGGUCCCCUGGGAUGCUUGACGGCCCCCGCAAGACCCUUCCAAUACAGCCAAGUGAUGUCCGCUUCCAUCCCCCAGGAUAGAGGGCUCAGGAAAAGAGCCUCAGCUGGCUGUCCCGGCACACUGUUCCGGGAGGGAGAGACGCCGUUUUCCAGGCACGGUCUUCAGAAUGGACUUUAUGGGCGACAAAGAGCCUACUAUGGCCAACAGACCACCCUCCAUCACACAUGACAUGCAUGACCAGUCGGGAAUAUGCAGCACAGUGAGGAUGUCGUGGCGUGAUGCAAGACACAGAAGGUUGCACGUGGCAGCGUUCCAUGUGACAUUGCAUGAAACCUGCAGUGUGGCCUGUGGGUUGUUGGCGUGGGUCCUAGCACUACAUGUGAUGGGCAGUCCAUAUUUGAGACGUGGCAAAUGUCCAUGUCAUAUGCCAUGUGGCUGGCCAGAUGCCCUCAUGCUGGUCCAAGAUUUAAUUUAUUAAUUUUUUAAACAAAGUAUGUAUUUAUAGAUUACCUUUCCAGAGCAGCUAAACCAGGGAAUGUCUUCCAAACAAGUGCGAUGAGGAAAGCAUACAAGCACUGAUCAGCCCAGUGGCCUGAGGUCCAGGGCCCUGGGCCAAGCCAGGGAUUUAGCCACGAGGCUUGUGGAUGACUAUCCUCUCGCCUCAAGCCUCAGUUUUCCCAAUCUGGGAACUGGCUCACCCCUCCUGUAGCUUCCCAGGUCUUAGAGCCCAGGUCCAGGUAGCGUUAGCCUGACCUUGGGGAUCACAGGCCUGGGCUGUCCUGUGUAAGGGACAAAGCCAGAUCUAAGGAUGCAGCGGGUGGGGACUGCCAAGUUAGGCAAGGCCGCUGGACCCGGCCACUACCUCAGUGGAUCUGACUGAACUCCCGGGAGCUCACAGUGUUCAUGUUGUUUCCAAGAAGGCCCAAGGAUUGUGAGCCAACUUUGAUCAAUAAAUGUGAGUGAUCUUCCGGCCUC
rnacentral:lncRNA from 1 species